GAUGAACGCUAGCGGCAGGCUUAACACAUGCAAGUCGAGGGGCAGCAUAAUGGAUAGCAAUAUCUAUGGUGGCGACCGGCGCACGGGUGCGUAACGCGUAUGCAACCUACCUUUAACAGGGGGAUAACACUGAGAAAUUGGUACUAAUACCCCAUAAUAUCAUAGAAGGCAUCUUUUAUGGUUGAAGAUUCCGAUGGUUAGAGAUGGGCAUGCGUUGUAUUAGCUAGUUGGUGGGGUAACGGCUCACCAAGGCGACGAUACAUAGGGGGACUGAGAGGUUAACCCCCCACACUGGUACUGAGACACGGACCAGACUCCUACGGGAGGCAGCAGUGAGGAAUAUUGGUCAAUGGACGCAAGUCUGAACCAGCCAUGCCGCGUGCAGGAUGACGGCUCUAUGAGUUGUAAACUGCUUUUGUACGAGGGUAAACGCAGAUACGUGUAUCUGUCUGAAAGUAUCGUACGAAUAAGGAUCGGCUAACUCCGUG
rnacentral:rRNA from 1 species